rnacentral:rRNA from 1 species
GAUGAACGCUGGCGGCGUGCCUAAUACAUGCAAGUCGAGCGAACGGACGAGAAGCUUGCUUCUCUGAUGUUAGCGGCGGUCGGGUGAGUAACACGUGGAUAACCUACCUAUAAGACUGGUAUCACUUCGGGAAACCGUCGCUAAUACCGGAUAAUAUUUUGAACCGCAUGGUUCAAAAGUAAAUGACGGUCUUGCUAUCACUUAUAGAUGGAUCCGCGCUGCAUUAGCUAGUUGGUAAGGUAACUGCUUCCCAAGGCAACGAUGCAUAGCCGACGUGAGAGGGUGAUCGGCCACACUGGACCGGAGACACGCUCCAGAGGCCUACGGGAGGCAGCAGUAGGGAAUCUUCCGCAAUGGGCGGAAACCUGACGGAGUAGCGCCGCGUGAGUGACGAAGGCCUUCGGAUCGUAAAACUCUGUUAUUAGGGAAGAACAUAUGUGUACGUAGCUGUGCAGAUCUUGACGGUACCUAAUCAAAAAGCCACGGCUAACUACGUG